rnacentral:lncRNA from 1 species
AAAAAAAAAGGUAAUGAUAAUAAAUACUUAAUGCAUUUGUUCAUUGUCAUCGGGGGUGGAGUUGGUACUCGACAAGUCCUUGUGGCUGUCCGUGCUGGCUUCGUCGAAAAAAUUCUUCUCCUUAUAUUGGGUGACUGCCCGUAUGCAUCAGGAUUUCUGGAUCCGUCACUGAAUUUGUCACUAAAUAAAUUCUUAAUACCGUUUGAGAACAUGUUUUGCAGAUAAUACAUAAUAAAUUAUACAAUAUAAUAUAAAAUAUUUAAGUUCUUUUUUCAUAAUAAGAAUACAACUUACCAAAUGUACAUAAUUUAUGUGAUGACUUUUAAGCUGUUAAACUAAUGGCUGUAUCUGAAUCUCAAGUGCAUUUCCCGAAAGUUGUGUAAAUGGUAAAUAGAUUUGUUGACUUGGAUGAAGAUUAUACCUAAUU